rnacentral:rRNA from 1 species
GUGAGGAAUAUUGGUCAAUGGGCGGGAGCCUGAACCAGCCAAGUCGCGUGAAGGAAGAAGGAUCUAUGGUUCGUAAACUUCUUUUGCAGGGGAAUAAAGUGCAGGACGUGUCCUGUUUUGUAUGUACCCUGAGAAUAAGGAUCGGCUAACUCCGUGCCAGCAGCCGCGGUAAUACGGAGGAUCCGAGCGUUAUCCGGAUUUAUUGGGUUUAAAGGGUGCGUAGGUGGUUUGAUAAGUCAGCGGUGAAAGUUUGCAGCUUAACUGUAAAAAUGCCGUUGAAACUGUCGGACUUGAGUGUAAAUGAGGUAGGCGGAAUGCGUGGUGUAGCGGUAAAAUGCAUAGAUAUCACGCAGAACUCCGAUUGCGAAGGCAGCUUACUAAGCUACAACUGACACUGAAGCACGAAAGCGUGGGGAUCAAACAGGAUUAGAAACCCGGGUAGUCC